rnacentral:rRNA from 1 species
AGUGAACGCUGGCGGUAGGCCUAACACAUGCAAGUCGAACGGCAGCACAGUAAGAGCUUGCUCUUACGGGUGGCGAGUGGCGGACGGGUGAGGAAUACAUCGGAAUCUACUUUUUCGUGGGGGAUAACGUAGGGAAACUUACGCUAAUACCGCAUACGACCUACGGGUGAAAGCAGGGGAUCUUCGGACCUUGCGCGAUUGAAUGAGCCGAUGUCGGAUUAGCUAGUUGGCGGGGUAAAGGCCCACCAAGGCGACGAUCCGUAGCUGGUCUGAGAGGAUGAUCGGCCACACUGGAACUGGGACACGGUCCAGACUCCUACGGGAGGCAGCAGUGUGGAAUAUGGGACAGUGGGCGCAAGCCUGAUCCAGCCAUACCGCGUGGGUGAAGAAGGCCUUCGGGUUGUAAAGCCCUUUUGUUGGGAAAGAAAAGCAGCAGGUUAAUACCCCGCUGUUCUGACGGUACCCAAAGAAUAAGCACCGGCUAACUUCGUG